CACGUAGGCACCAAGCGUUGUCCGGAUUUAUUGGGCGUAAAGAGCUCGUAGGCGGUUCAGUAAGUCGGGUGUGAAAACUCAGGGCUCAACCCUGAGCUGCCACCCGAUACUGCUGUGACUUGAGUCUGGUAGGGGAGUGGGGAAUUCCUGGUGUAGCGGUGAAAUGCGCAGAUAUCAGGAGGAACACCGGUGGCGAAGGCGCCACUCUGGGCCACGACUGACGCUGAGGGGCGAAAGCGUGGGGAGCGAACAGG
rnacentral:rRNA from 1 species